rnacentral:rRNA from 1 species
AUUGAACGCUGGCGGCAGGCUUAACACAUGCAAGUCGAGCGGGGUGAUGGUGCUCGCACUAUCACUUAGCGGCGGACGGGUGAGUAAUGCUUAGGAAUCUGCCUAUUAGUGGGGGACAACAUCUCGAAAGGGAUGCUAAUACCGCAUACGUCCUACGGGAGAAAGCAGGGGAUCACUUGUGACCUUGCGCUAAUAGAUGAGCCUAAGUCGGAUUAGCUAGUUGGUGGGGUAAAGGCCUACCAAGGCGACGAUCUGUAGCGGGUCUGAGAGGAUGAUCCGCCGCACUGGGACUGAGACACGGCCCAGACUCCUACGGGAGGCUGCAGUGGGGAAUAUUGGACAAUGGGGGGAACCCUGAUCCAGCCAUGCCGCGUGUGUGAAGAAGGCCUUAUGGUUGUAAAGCACUUUAAGCGAGGAGGAGGCUCUUUUGGUUAAUACCCAAGAUGAGUGGACGUUACUCGCAGAAUAAGCACCGGCUAACUCUGUGCCAGCCGCCGCGGUAA